CUCAAGUUCAACAAAUGGCCACAGAGGGCGAAAAAAUCGACCGCGCGGCGCUGCUAAAGAAACAGGCAUAGUAGACCAAUUAAAAAGGUUCCCCGUUGAGCACAUUAUCUCCCGCUAGAGGCGCCGUAGUAAGCGCAAUUUUAACCUACAAACUUUCUUCAACAGUAAACGAAGCGCUUUUAUUGCAUGAUAAAGACUACAAAAUUAUAAUUCCUAAUUUUACAUUGUACUUUUUAUUACCAACUUUGUUGUUUUUUGUCAUUUUGAACGCAAAAUAGCGUUCAGCAUCAUCCACCUCCCACGUGACCUCUGGCCUGAAUUUAAAAUUUUUACCGGUAUGUUCGCGUGCGCGGCAGGUACGGAUUCCUUGGUUCGUACAUUGGUUGGUUAUUUUGUGCUAACACCAGUUUACUGCGCUUCGAUGUCUCGCGUUAUUUAAUUUGAGGUGUAAGCCUGAAGGCUAGGUUUCAGUCGUGAGCCAUGUGGAACACGUCUGCAUCGAAAUGGGAGCCGGGUCCUGCUGCAACUGGGGACAGCAAUACCGGUGAGUCGUUUAACAUCACUGCUUCAAUCGCUAUGUAAUUUAUUCGUCUCGUUAACUUACAGGCGGAGGUAAGUUAACGAACUAGAUGCUGCAUUACAUAAGGGCAGUCAGGACCCUCCGUUGCUGUUUCCGAAAUAAACUUUCAGUUGCGAGGCCAUCAUUAUACACACAUUCACGAAAGAGAAACGAUAUCGGAACGCGCGUCACAUUUUUCAUCUCGUUGUAGCCGUAGCCAUAAGUGACUGAGUUGCCUUAUCAAUAUAUAUAUAUAUAUUUUCGAGUCCGCCGGCAACUUCUUUCGUUCACAGAACCGAAUAACCUUUUGAUAAACUGAAGCUAAAGUACUGAAUUUAAUGUAUUAAACAGUUGCACACAUGAUAAUUCACCCAUAUUUCGUACCUGUUGGUUCCAAAUGUUCUUGCUGUUCAGUUUGGCUUACCUCAGGACAUCUAUUUUUGCAGUAGUGAAGCGGUGCAUCACGUUCAUGCACAAAAAAAUUUCUAAUAGCUUCAUGUCUUUCAUCUCUUUGCUUGUGAAAUCAGCAGUGUGAUCUCCUGUAGUGUAUAAACGAGCGCACAAAUGUACUUAUUUGUGAUCUUAAUAAUACUUAAGCUGUUGACAUGCAUUGUAGUUACGCAGACAACAAUUUUACGGAGAGUAACCAUAUUUAUUUACCAUGCUGCUUAAGCACCCUAGAACAAACAGUGUACAUUUGCAUGUGUUCUGUAGUCACAAACCAUUGCAAUGUAUAUGUCGCACCUUUACGCAUUUUAUAUUGCAAAAUUGUGCUUAUUCAAUUUCUGAUGCAGUCAAAAUUUCUGUUCCAGACAUGCAGUAAUGAGGAUGGCACCAGUAUAAAGCAACACACUCCAUGCACUAAACAGAAGCUGCUGCCUGCUACAACAAGGUCAUUGUAUGGACUUUGGCUGCUACUACAAGAGUCUGUGCCAAGUACAUCUUGGUCAUCACGGGAGCCCCCAUCUACACCAACAGGAAGGGGCUGGAGCUGAAUUCGCAAGACCACAAACAAAGAAGCCAUUCCAGAAUUAUUUGGAUGAGAUAUCAAGUCUACGGACGACUGUUUCAAGAGUGAAAAGAGCCUACGCCAUCAUUCCACCAGCACGGAUAUUGGCCGAGUCAUCCAGGUACCUCAACAACCAAAAUUAUUUGUCUUCAGAUGUACCUGCAACCUCUGAAUAAGCACAGAUGACGCUGGCUAAGAGUGUUCUGUCAGCUUGCCCUUCCUUAGUGAGCUUCCUGGCCUUGCCAGUUCUUGCCAAGUAUAAUUUUGUUUCAAUGAAUGCAAGCUUUUUCAUUCCACACUUUUGUUAGAGAUCAUUCCUAUUCCUCAUACAAACAAUAAAGGUCAACCGAUUCUUUGCUCAUACUUAAUGCCAGUCACUGUCUAGUAGCAUAACAUAUGUGUAGCAGUUCUUUCUAGUGUAUGUUGCCAUGUGCAAUUCCUCUCCUGAAAUAGCUGAUGCAGCAUUGGCGUGUGUCUUGCAUUAACCUUUACACUGUGUGCUAUGUAGCAUUUAACUUUUGUUAAUGUUUUUGGCUUUCAAUGCUUGCAAGGUAGAGUGGCUUCUUUCUUGAAUGCAAGCUUUCUCGUUCCCAUAUUGAAUUCCUAGUCUCAUUCAGGAUUGCUAUUCUUGCUCGACAGCCUGUGUUUUUGUGAAAGCUACAUUGAAGUGAUUGAUUGCAGAAUCUGGUUUCGGCGCUGUCCGACUUGGUACUUGUCACCGUGUUACAUUUCUCAUAUGUGGGAGCCUGGUCAGUUGCAUUGGGAAACAGUCUCUCGAGGCAAGCACCUGCUCCUACAGUCCGCACAGUGACAUAGACUGCGAAUUUACACGCGCACCGUGGUUGGUGCUCCCCGUUCCGUCCUUUCCUGCUGCUGCCGUGUGCAAAUUUUGCUUGUGGUCUUCCUCGGCCAUGAUUUGGCGUCAACGGAGACUCUCAUACAUAAUUACAUGGUUCUAAGUGUAUGAAGUUGAUAUCCACAUGUGUGGAAAGGCCUGCAAAAGUUACUGCAACAUAGUGAUGUUCACAAAACCGACCAUGCCCAUAUAUAGAGAAUGUGGGGGACCAAGUGUGAGUUACACAUUAGUGGCAUGCAAAAGAACAAAAAGAAACAUGCAGGUUGGAAAGGCGGUAACGCUAAAAUGCCGGGCACUCCAUGUCGCUGUUGGCUGUGGCAGCAGAUGCUUGCGUCACCCGAUUGCUUCGCAAUGCAAGCUGCUCAUAUUCAACGCCGACUGUCGGUGCAAACAUGUGGGACACACUGUCCAAUCUGCUUGCGCUGCUGGUUGUUGCUUGUUACCAGACUGCAGUGUGCGACGAAGGCAAGCACUAUGCCUACAGUCGGACGGUUGAAUGUGCCGCAAGCAACCCGUGUGCGUGUAUGCUCACUGUUGUCAUGUAGAUCGUAGCCAAUGCAUAGUGCCAAUGUAUAGAUUGAGCAUUAUGUUAGAGUAUGCUGAAGUGAUUUGAUUGCAUAAUCUUGUUUCAAUGUUGUCCCACUUGGUCAUGGUUGCCGUGUUACAUUUCUGGGAUGUGGCAGCCUGUUCAGUUGUAUUGGCCAAUGGCCUCUCGAGGUAAGCACCUGCUCCUGCAGUCCACACAGUGACACAAACUCCCUGUUUACAUGUAGUGUGAUUGGUGCUCCCUGUUUGUCCUUUCCUGCUGCAGCCGUGGGUAAAGCAUGCUUGUGGCCUUCUUUGGCCAUGAUUUGGCGUGAACAGAGACUAUCAUACAUGAUUACAUGGUUUGAAGUGUAUGAAGUUGAUAUCCACAUGGGUGGAAAGGCCUGUAAAAGUGGCUGCGAAAUGGCGAUUCCCACAAAACAGACCACAUCCAUAUUGAGAGCAGGUGGGGCACCAAGUGUGAGCAACACAUUAGUGGCCACCGAAAGAACAAAAUGAAACGUGCAUGUAGGAAAGGAGGUAACACUAGGAUGCCGAGUAGUUCAUGUCGCUGUGUUGGCUAUGGCAGCAGGUGCCUGCGUCACCCGAUUGAUUCGCAGUACAAGUUACGGUGACUGUCAGUGUAAACAGGUGGGGCACUGUCCAAUCUGCUUGUGCUGCUGGUUGUCACUCGUUACUAGACCACCAUGUGCGACGUAGGCAAGCACUGUGCCUGAAGUCGGAUAGCUGAAUAAGCUGUAUGCAAUUCGUAGUGCGUGAAUGCCCACUGUUGUCAUAUGUAUCUUAGCCAAUGUACAGCGUAUUGUCUGAACCUUAUGCGGUGAUUGAAUGCAGUCUAAUUUGAUAAUGGUCGCCGUGUUCUGUUUCUUCGAUGUGGCGACCUGGUUAGCUGCAUGGGCAACAGUCUCCUGAGGUAACCAUCUGCUCCUGCAGUCCACACAGCGACAAAGACUCCCAAUUUACAUGCACCGUAAUUGGUGCUCUCCCCAUUCGACAUUUCUUGCUGCAGCCGCCGGCAAAUUAUGCUUGUGGGCCUUCAUCGGCCGUUAUGUGGCGUGAGCGGAGACAGCACACGUUAUUACAUGGUCCGAAGUUGAUAGCCACAUAGGUGGAAAGGCCUGCAAAACUGGCUGCAAAAUGGUGAUGCCCACAUUGAGAAUGUGGGGCACCAACUAUGAGUUACACAUUAGCGGCCACCGAAAGAACAAAAAGAAACGUGCAGGUUGGAAAGGCGGGAACGCUAAAAUGCCGUUUAGUCCAUGUCGCUGUGUUGGUUGCGGCAGCAGAUGCCUUGCGUCACCCGAUUGCUUCGCAAUGUAAGUUACGGCGACUGUUAAAGCAAACAGGUGGUGCACUGCCCAAUUUGCUUGCGCUACUGAUUGUCGCUCGUUACCAGAUCGCAUGUGCGGCGACGAAAGUGAGCAGUUUACGAGCUCUCGUUAAUGGUUUCAGCGCAUCUCGACAUGCAAAUUUUAUUUCUGAUCUUGUAUGUGAAGGUGCACUGCUUUUCUUCUGCCAAUAAAGUCGCACGUCCUGUUCA